rnacentral:rRNA from 1 species
GAUGAACGCUAGCUACAGGCUUAGCACAUGCAAGUCGCGGGGCAGCAUGGGGGUUGCUUGCAAUCCCCGAUGGCGACCGGCGCACGGGUGAGUAACGCGUAUCCAACCUGCCCUUCACCACGGGAUAACCCGGCGAAAGUCGGACUAAUACCGUAUGUUUUCCAUUGACGGCAUCCGAUUUGGACGAAAGGUUUGGCGGUGAAGGAUGGGGAUGCGUCCGAUUAGCUGGACGGCGGGGUGACGGCCCACCGUGGCGACGAUCGGUAGGGGUUCUGAGAGGAAGGUCCCCCACACUGGAACUGAGACACGGUCCAGACUCCUACGGGAGGCAGCAGUGAGGAAUAUUGGUCAAUGGGCGUAAGCCUGAACCAGCCAAGUAGCGUGCAGGAUGACGGCCCUAUGGGUUGUAAACUGCUUUUAUGCGGGGAUAAAGUGGCCCACGUGUGGGUUUUUGCAGGUACCGCAUGAAUAAGGACCGGCUAAUUCCGUG